rnacentral:rRNA from 1 species
UACAGAGGUCCCGAGCGUUGUUCGGAUUCAUUGGGCGUAAAGGGUGCGUAGGCGGCGGGGAAAGUCUGAUGUGAAAUCCUGGGGCUCAACCCUGGAACUGCAUUGGAUACUUCCUUGCUAGAGUACUGGAGAGGAAACUGGAAUUUACGGUGUAGCAGUGAAAUGCGUAGAGAUCGUAAGGAAGACCAGUGGCGAAGGCGAGUUUCUGGACAGUUACUGACGCUGAGGCACGAAGGCCAGGGGAGCAAACAGG